rnacentral:rRNA from 1 species
AGUGAACGCUGGCGGUAGGCCUAACACAUGCAAGUCGAACGGCAGCACAGUAAGAGCUUGCUCUUACGGGUGGCGAGUGGCGGACGGGUGAGGAAUACAUCGGAAUCUACUUUUUCGUGGGGGAUAACGUAGGGAAACUUACGCUAAUACCGCAUACGACCUACGGGUGAAAGCAGGGGAUCUUCGGACCUUGCGCGAUUGAAUGAGCCGAUGUCGGAUUAGCUAGUUGGCGGGGUAAAGGCCCACCAAGGCGACGAUCCGUAGCUGGUCUGAGAGGAUGAUCAGCCACACGGGAACUGAGACACGGUCCAGACGCCUACGGGAGGCAGCAGUGGGGAAUAUUGGACAAUGGGCGCAAGCCUGAUCCAGCCAUACCGCGUGGGUGAAGAAGGCCUUCGGGUUGUAAAGCCCUUUUGUUGGGAAAGAAAAGCAGCAGGUUAAUACCCCGCUGUUCUGACGGUACCCAAAGAAUAAGCACCGGCUAACUUCGUG